rnacentral:misc_RNA from 1 species
AAAUGCUACCGCAAUUGGAACACAAGGUCAGAAUCCUGCCCUUUUUGUCGUGGUAGCUUAAAGAGAGUUAACUCAGAAGACCUAUGGGUGCUCACUUGUAACAGUGAUGUGGUUGACACAAAAACAAUAUCCAAGGAGGACUUGUUGCGAUUCUACCUCUAUAUUAACAGCUUGCCGAAGGAUUACCCAGAUGCGCUUUUCUUGGUAUAUUAUGAAUAUCUAAUGUGAAUUGGAGUAGAUGAGAGGAGUGAUGUACAGAUAGCAAAGCCAACCCUCAAUUGUAAAUAGAGUCUGGUACAAGCACACGAUUGUUUCUCUGAUUCUUAGACCCAAAAAAAAAAAAUCAAUAUCAUCUGAUGC